CGCCGCUCAGAAACUCAAAGGAAUUGACGGGGCCCGCACAAGCGGUGGAGCAUGUGGUUUAAUUCGAUGAUACGCGAGGAACCUUACCUGGGCUCAAAUGUAUGUUGACGUAUUCUGAAAGGGAUACUUCUUCGGACAAUAUACAAGGUGCUGCAUGGUUGUCGUCAGCUCGUGCCGUGAGGUGUCGGGUUAAGUCCCAUAACGAGCGCAACCCCUAUCAUUAGUUGCCAUCAGGUCAAGCUGGGGACUCUAAUGAAACUGCCUACGCAAGUAGUGAGGAAGGCGGGGAUGACGUCAAAUCAGCACGGCCCUUACGUCCAGGGCUACACACGUGCUACAAUGGCCGAUACAGAGGGCAGCUACCUGGUGACAGGAUGCAAAUCUCCAAAGUCGGUCUCAGUUCGGAUCGGAGUCUGCAACCCGACUCCGUGAAGUUGGAUUCGCUAGUAAUCGCGCAUCAGCCAUGGCGCGGUGAAUACGUUCCCGGGCCUU
rnacentral:rRNA from 1 species